AAAUCUAUGCCUACAUAUACACAUAUAUAUAAAGUUGUGUGUUUAUUGUUUCUUGACAACAGAAUACCAGAAUUUGUACGUUGCAUGGUAAUUCCAUUGGCUCAGGCAAGAUGAACCUUUUUUUGUUGAAAGCAAGCUCUCUAAAUAAUUUGUGGAUAAAACAAGUCAUCAGCAAAUCAAUGUUAUCAAAAAUAUAAGAGUAUAUCCUGAUACAAUUGAAACCAUAAGUCGAUGUUGUUGAAAUGCAAAAUAUAUGUGCAGAAAAGCUGUGAAAUAAAACAAGAAGGAAGACUUUUUUUUGGCAAGGUAUUGAGGUUGUGCUCUAACUAUCGUGAAAAGGAAAAGCGGUAAACGUGCCAGCACAAAGAGGUUUACUAUUAACAUAUGGCGUUCGUUAAGGCGGCUGAGCAAAUUGAUUACCACUUAAUAACUUUUCUGGUUGACCUGCCACCUGCCUUUCCUAGAAAGGAUAGCGAAAUUGUAGGUGUUGCGCCCACAUUUGCUCUUGUGACACUUCAGCGACAUCGUGUGUCUUUCACGAAGAUUUUACAUCUUUAGCUGCCGCUUCAUCUCUCAACCGUCAGAUAAAGAAGGAACGAUGCGCCGUCGCCAAUCUCCCAUAAGCCAAGGUUCACUAUACGUCAAGAUGAAGAUGUUAAUAACAGCCGCGCAACAAGCCAUAAUAUUUUUUAUUUAUUUGUUAUAUAUAUAGUUUUUAUGUUUUUACGUUAUAUGUACGCAUCUUACUUAUAAAUGAGGAUUUUAUUUAUAUAUCGUUAUUAUUAUAAAUGGAUGAUGUCAUGGAAAAGUUGGAUCUUCAAAG